GCUGGGCGUGGUGGCCCAUGCCUGUAAUCCCAGCUACUCAGGAGGCUGAGGCAGGAGAAUUGCUUGAACUCAGGUGGCAGGGGUUGCAGUGAGCUGAGAUCACGCCACUGCACUCCAGCCUGGGUGACAAAGUGAGACUCCAUCUCAA
rfam:Gorilla gorilla gorilla genomic chromosome, chr7, whole genome shotgun sequence